rnacentral:rRNA from 1 species
AUUGAACGCUAGCGGGAUGCUUUAAACAUGCAAGUCGAACGAGUGCCGGACGGGUGAGUAAUAUAUCGGACCGUGCCCAUUCGCGGGGGAUAACUCCUCGCAAGCGUGGCUAAUACCGCAUCCUAUUGGAGCGGCCGAUAUCGGAUUAGCUAGUUGGUGGGGUAAAUGCACACCAAGGCAACGAUCCGUAGCUGGUUUGAGAGGACGACCAGCCACACUGGGACUGAGACACGGCCCAGACUCCUACGGGAGGCAGCAGUGGGGAAGUUUGGGCAAGGGGGGAAACCCUGAACCAGCCAGGCCGCGUGUAUGAGAAGGCCUUCGGGUUGUAAAGUACUGUUGUCAGGGAAGCGGUAUCUGCAGAAGAAGCACCGGCUAACUACGUGCCAGCCGCCGCGGUAAUUC